GUGCUUACUUCGGCAGCACACAUACUAAAAUUAGAACGAUAGGGAAGAUUAGCAUGGUCCCUGCUCAAGGAUGACACGCAAAUUCGUGAAGCAUUCCAUAUUUUA